rnacentral:rRNA from 1 species
GCAACCUGGUUGAUCCUGCCAGUAGUCAUAUGCUUGUCUCAAAGAUUAAGCCAUGCAUGUCUAAGUAUAAAUAGCAUACCGUGAAACUGCGAAUGGCUCAUUAAAACAGUUAUAGUUUAUUUGAUAAUGGAAAGCUAUAUGGAUAACCGUGGUAAUUCUAGAGCUAAUACAUGCUGUCAAACCUAACUUCUGGA